AUUGAACGCUGGCGCCAUGCCUUACACAUGCAAGUCGAACGGUAACAGGUCUUCGUAUGCUGCCGAGUGGCGAACGGGUGAGUAAUACAUCGGAACGUGCCUAGUAGUGGGGGAUAACUACUCGAAAUAGUGGCUAAUACCGCAUGAGAUCAACGGAUUAAAGCAGGGGAUCGCCAGACCUUGUGCCACUAGAGCGGCUGAUGGCAGAUUAGGUAGGUGGUGGGAUAAAAGCGUACCAAGCCGACGAUCUGUAGCUGGUCUGAGAGGGCGAUCAGCCACACUGGGACGUAGACACGGCCCAGACUCCUACGGGAGGCAGCAGUGGGUAAUUUUGGACAAUGGGCGCAAGCGUGAUCCAGCAAUGCCGCGUGCAGGAUGAAGGCCUUCGGGUUGUAACUGCUUUUGUACGGAACGAAAAGACCUGGGUUAAUACCCUGGGGUCAUGACGGUACCGUAAGAAUAAGCACCGGCUAACUACGUGCCAGCCGCCGCAGUAAUAC
rnacentral:rRNA from 1 species